CCCUUAGAGUUUGAUCCUGGCUCAAGAUGAACGCUAGCGGCAGGCUUAAUACAUGCAAGUCGAACGGUAAGUGUUAUAGCAAUAUAGCACGAGAGUGACGUACGGGUGCGUAACACGUAUGCAACCUACCUUGUACAGGGGUAUAGCUCGGGGAAACUCGAAUUAACACCCCAUAAUAUGUUUGGUGUGGCAUCACACUAACAUUAAAACUCCGGUGGUACAAGAUGGGCAUGCGUCUGAUUAGUUAGUUGGCGGUGUAACGGACCACCAAGACGAUGAUCAGUAGGGGACCUGAGAGGGUGAUCCCCCACACUGGCACUGAGAUACGGGCCAGACUCCUACGGGAGGCAGCAGUAGGGAAUAUUGGUCAAUGGAUGCAAGUCUGAACCAGCCAUGCCGCGUGCAGGAAGAAGGCGUUAUGCGUUGUAAACUGCUUUUGCCAGGGGAUAAAAUAGGCGUGCGCGCUUAAUUGAAGGUACCUGGUGAAUAAGCCACGGCUAACUACGUGCCAGCAGCCGCGGUAAUACGUAGGUGGCAAGCGUUGUCCGGAUUUAUUGGGUUUAAAGGGUGCGUAGGUGGCCCUGUAAGUCAGUGGUGAAAUAUCUCAACUUAACUGAGAGGGUGCCAUUGAUACUGCAGGGCUUGAGUACAGAUGAGGUAGGCGGAAUUGACGGUGUAGCGGUGAAAUGCAUAGAUAUCGUCAAGAACACCGAUAGCGAAGGCAGCUUACCAAGCUGUAACUGACACUGAGGCACGAAAGUGUGGGGAUCAAACAGAUUAGAUACCCUGGUAGUCACACUGUAACGUGAUGACUCGAUGUUGGCGAUACACAGCCAGCGUCCAGAGCA
rnacentral:rRNA from 1 species